UGGGAUACAGCUCAGUUGGUAGAGUGCUUGCCUCAUAGGCACAAGGCCCUGGGUUCAGUUCCCAGCACCACAA
rfam:Ictidomys tridecemlineatus contig060112, whole genome shotgun sequence.